GACGAGUCACUACGGUGAUGAAGUAGCUCAUGCCCCGCUUCCAGGAAAAGCCUCUAAGCUCUAGAUUAUCAUUAAUCGUACCCCAAACCGACACAGGUGGUCAGGUAGAGAAUACUCAGGCGCUUGAGAGAACUCGGGUGAAGGAACUAGGCAAAAUGGUGCCGUAACUUCGGGAGAAGGCACGCUGGCAUUAGGUGAAGUGGUUUACCCAUGGAGCUGAAGCCAGUCGCAGAUACCAGCUGGCUGCAACUGUUUAUUAAAAACACAGCACUGUGCAAACACGAAAGUGGACGUAUACGGUGUGACGCCUGCCCGGUGCUGGAAGGUUAAUUGAUGGGGUUAUCCGUAAGGAGAAGCUCUUGAUCGAAGCCCCAGUAAACGGCGGCCGUAACUAUAACGGUCCUAAGGUAGCGAAAUUCCUUGUCGGGUAAGUUCCGACCUGCACGAAUGGCGUAAUGAUGGCCAGGCUGUCUCCACCCGAGACUCAGUGAAAUUGAACUCGCUGUGAAGAUGCAGUGUACCCGCGGCAAGACGGAAAGACCCCGUGAACCUUUACUAUAGCUUGACACUGAACAUUGAGCCUUGAUGUGUAGGAUAGGUGGGAGGCUUUGAAGCGUGGACGCCAGUCUGCGUGGAGCCAACCUUGAAAUACCACCCUUUAAUGUUUGAUGUUCUAACGUUGCCCCGUUAUCCGGGGUGCGGACAGUGUCUGGUGGGUAGUUUGACUGGGGCGGUCUCCUCCCAAAGAGUAACGGAGGAGCACGAAGGUUGGCUAAGCAUGGUCGGACAUCAUGCGGUUAGUGCAAAGGCAUAAGCCAGCUUGACUGCGAGAGUGACGGCUCGAGCAGGUACGAAAGUAGGUCUUAGUGAUCCGGUGGUUCUGAAUGGAAGGGCCAUCGCUCAACGGAUAAAAGGUACUCCGGGGAUAACAGGCUGAUACCGCCCAAGAGUUCAUAUCGACGGCGGUGUUUGGCACCUCGAUGUCGGCUCAUCACAUCCUGGGGCUGAAGUAGGUCCCAAGGGUACGGCUGUUCGCCGUUUAAAGUGGUACGCGAGCUGGGUUUAGAACGUCGUGAGACAGUUCGGUCCCUAUCUGCCGUGGGCGUUGGAAGAUUGAAAGGGGCUGCUCCUAGUACGAGAGGACCGGAGUGGACGCACCACUGGUGUUCGGGUUGUCAUGCCAAUGGCAUUGCCCGGUAGCUAAGUGCGGAAGAGAUAACCGCUGAAAGCAUCUAAGCGGGAAACUUGCCUUGAGAUGAGUCUUCCCUGACUCUUUAAGAGUCCUAAAGGAACGUUUAAGACUAAGACGUUGAUAGGUUGGGUGUGUAAGCGUAGCGAUACGUUGAGCUAACCAAUACUAAUGAACCGUGAGGCUUAACCUGACAACACCGAAGGUGUUUUAG
rnacentral:rRNA from 1 species